UACGUAGGUGGCAAGCGUUGUCCGGAUUUACUGGGCGUAAAGAGCGCGCAGGCGGUCGUUCAAGUCGCGUGUGAAAGCCCCCGGCUCAACUGGGAGGGUCACGCGAUACUGAUCGACUCGAAGGCAGGAGAGGGUAGUGGAAUUCCCGGUGUAGUGGUGGAAAUGACGCAGAGUAUCAGGAGGAACACCGAUGGCGAAGGCAGGUCUCUGGGCCGAUACUGACGCUGAGGAGCGAAAGCGUGGGAGCGAACAGG
rnacentral:rRNA from 1 species